rnacentral:rRNA from 1 species
UAGGGAAUCUUCGGCAAUGGACGAAAGUCUGACCGAGCAACGCCGCGUGAGUGAAGAAGGUUUUCGGAUCGUAAAACUCUGUUGUUAGAGAAGAACAAGGACGUUAGUAACUGAACGUCCCCUGACGGUAUCUAACCAGAAAGCCACGGCUAACUACGUGCCAGCAGCCGCGGUAAUACGUAGGUGGCAAGCGUUGUCCGGAUUUAUUGGGCGUAAAGCGAGCGCAGGCGGCUUCUUAAGUCUGAUGUGAAAGCCCCCGGCUCAACCGGGGAGGGUCAUUGGAAACGGGGAGACUUGAGUGCAGAAGAGGAGAGUGGAAUUCGAUGUGUAGCGGUGAAAUGCGUAGAUAUAUGGAGGAACACCAGUGGCGAAGGCGGCUCUCUGGUCUGUAACUGACGCUGAGGCUAGAAAGCGUGGGGAGCAAACAGG